CCCCGGCGCCCCAAGUGGCAAUCACUAUUAUUGGGCCUAAAGCAUUCGUAGCCGGACAAUUACAUUCUCUGUGAAAUCAAUUGACUCAAUCGGUUGGCGUGCAGAGGAGACGGAUUGUCUUGAAACCGGGAGGAGCUAGAGGUAUUCUGAGGGGAGCGGUAAAAUGUGAUAAUCCUCGGAGGACCACCAGUGGCGAAGGCGUCUAGCUAGAACGGAUUUGACGGUGAGGAAUGAAGGCUAGGGGAGCAAAAGG
rnacentral:rRNA from 1 species